UUGCUCCUACGGGGGGCAGCAGUGGGGAAUAUUGCACGAUGGGGGAAACCCUGAUGCAGCGACGCCGCGUGAGUGAUGAAGUAUUUCGGUAUGUAAAGCUCUAUCAGCAGGGAAGAUAAUGACGGUACCUGACUAAGAAGCUCCGGCUAAAUACGUGCCAGCAGCCGCGGUAAUACGUAUGGAGCAAGCGUUAUCCGGAUUUACUGGGUGUAAAGGGAGCGCAGACGGCAGGGCAAGUCUGAUGUGAAAGUCCAAGGCUCAACCAUGGGACUGCUUUUGAAACUGUACAGCUAGAUUGCAGGAGG
rnacentral:rRNA from 1 species